ensembl:lncRNA
UCCAAUAAGUGUUUGGGAAUGUCAAUCUGUAGUAAGUGGGGACUUAUUAUAAAAGGGAUAUUUUGGGAGUUCCCGUCGUGGCUCAGCUGUUAACGAACUCAAGUAGCAUCCAUGAGGACUCGAGUUGGACCCCUGUCCUUGCUCAGUGGGGUUUAUGGAUCCAGCAUUGCCGGGAGCUGUGGUGUAGCUCCGGAAGCACGGGAUCCUUAACCCACUGAGCGAGGCCAGGGAUCAAACCCGCAACCUCAAGGUUCCUAGGCAGAUUCAUUUCCACUGUGCCGCAAGGGGAACUCCUGUUCUAUAUACUAUUUGGGAAGAGGGAAAAAUGAAUGAAAAAAAUUCAUACACACACACACGCACACACAUACACUCAUAUAUAUACUCCAUCCUUACUAUUUCCCCCAAUUUUAGCAAACCACUCACAGGUACAAAGCAUACAAUCAUUUUAAGCACAACAGAAAUACUUUAAUGCCAGAUUAGUCAAAGCACUUUAUUUGACGGUUGUUCUCCUUGAUGUCAAACUUCAAACAAUGUAUGUCAAGUAUUCUAAUUUGUUUUACAAACAUGAUAUGAUCCUCCAUUUAUCUAUCUAUCUAAACCUUCCCCAAAGCAGUCUGUACAGGAGCAUGCUCCACUUAAAGUCACAAGUACUCUAAGUUGACCUCUCUAUUUGAUCAAGCUGAUAAACUAGUAGUCCAUCUUCAAAAUAUUUGGAGCUGUAAGGGCAUGUACUUGCUACUCUGGUUUGACUCUAGAUAUACCUUUAGUACCUGACAGACGGCAGUCAAGGCUACUCUUUUGCACUGUUAUUUUUCAUCUGCAGGGUCCUAACCUUUUUAGUCUUGAUUCAACUCCUCCAUAGGCCUUCCCAUUUCUGUCUGAGCGCCUUUCCUUUUCUUUUUCUGCAUUAUACUCUCAAUCCCUCUUCCCAAGAGUGUAAACAUCUAUAACACUGAGGCAAGCCCAGAAAAUCUGGGAUGAGACUGCCAGAUACACUUGAACCUCAUCAUGAAAUUUCUCAAGAAGGGGAUGCAAGAGGGCUUCCAAACCCAGGAAAACCAUCUCUAUCACCUGAUGCCAAAGCACUGGCUUCCCUCACUCCUCUGAGAGCCAGGCCAGGAGAAGGCAAGGAGCUCAGCCUCUGAAAACCACAAGCCCCAAGAAGGCCUUCCCUUGCCCUACCUGCACUUUACCUGCUCCUGCGUGGAGCAGCACCCUUGCUUCCCUGAAAAAGGGGAAAUGAAUCCCCCAAAUGCUCAGGCAGGUAACCCAGAGCAUGGAGCAGGAGGGCUUGGGGACUUAGUGGUGCCUCAAAGGGGAGGGCUAUUAGCAAGGCGGGCCUGGUGUGGAAUUCCUCAAAAGAUGCUAUACACAAGCUAUACAUGGGAGGCAGCCAGCUAACUGGGACCUAAGUCCCCUGGGACUCCCCCAGGGUCCACCUCCCACAGGCCCUCCCUCCUAUCCUCUUCCCUGCCUCCUGUGACCAGUGACCUGGACAGUAGGCAAGGGAGCGCAGAGGGCCUGUCCCACCUGGCAAUCAUCUUGCAGAAGU